UCUAACAGGUCACAUGGACCCUGAUCUGUUCCGGGUCAGAGUGGAGCCACUUUCACAUGUGGUCCAAAUCAGAUCCAGGUCCGAUUGUUUGUCUAAAGCGACCGGCGUCACAGUUCUGGUCUAGACGGAGCCGCGGGGAACGAAACAGCUCUGCAAAAGCCAGAAUUCAACGCGUGUCUCUCUUUCUCAGCUCACACGCUGAUAUUUAAACUGUAAUGUGAGCUGUCAGUCAAAACAAUUCAGCAUUCAGCCUGCAGAGUGACACUGAGACACUUCCAGCACCUGCUCAGGUAAACAGCUGGAAAUACUGAUGUAGGAGACGGGAACAGAGCAACUCAGAUUUCCUGACAAACUGCUUAGAAACAUCAGUGACAGAAAGGAUUAUCUGUGAAGGACUCAGUUAAUCAAUCCAUCACCUACUGACCGUCGCACUGAGCGGGAAGAAGCAGAAGAAGAACUGCAGGGUUUUGUUUCUCAGCUUUAUCCUGAAGCUUCAGCUGAAACAGGAAGCCGAGUUUCCUUUUUACAGGAUGUUUGUGUUGCAUGUGAACGCCCCGCUGCUGGUCCCACAGACCUGUUACUCUUCAUCAUCAUCACCAUCAUCAGAGUGUGGCUCAGCCUCUGGUCACCCUCUCUGCUCUGUUUUAGUCUCUGAUCAGCUGAUUUAAAACUCUGACAUGUUGUUCGGUUUCCUUCUCACCUGCAGAACAGUAAGAGGACUCCUCGACACAGGUUCUGGUCCCAACAGAUUCAGAUUCAGGUCCACACAGAUUCACAGUGAAGAAUCCUUCGUCUCCCCUCAUCAGUAAAUCUCUGUGUCAGUGUUACAGACGCCUCCGGACUCGGCAGAACAAACACUUUUUGAAAAGAACGAGAACCUGAUUUUAUGACGAGACGACGGAGGCUGAACGGGAAGCUGAUCUGAGACCAGGUCCAGAGCGACUGAGAGAUCAAACCAAUCGGCUAUUAAGUAAAUGUGACGCUGCGUGUUUCAGGACGAGGUCGGGAUGGUGAACUGGUGUUUUGGCUGCAGCUCAUUAGAAUAAAAGAAGAUAUUAAGUUCUCAGAUUCAUUCCGCCUGCACAGACCCUGCAGAGACCCUGAUCCUGCAGAGACCACUACAACCAGUCUGCACCCAUCAGCUUCUAGAGUCUGGAGAUUCAGUUUAGUGCAGUUUCCUACAGGAACCCCGCCCUCUGUCCUCAUUGGAUGAUUGACAGGUUCAGCCAUCUUGUGCACAGACCUGCUGAUGAGACGUGCUGGUUAAAUAAAAAUGAGAUUUUAUCUGCAUCUAAUCCCCGACGCCGUGUUCUCCACUGGAUCUUCAGUUCUUCCUUCAGCUGAUCUGAAAGCAUGAAAUCUCCUCCAACUGGACACGGAGAGGCCGAGCUCCUGCAGGAGGUCAGAAACCUCUCUCCUCCCCCUCAGAGUCAGAACCUGAACUCAAAGACAUGAAACAUCUGGAUCAUUCUUCCACUUCCCGAGGAAAUCACGAUCUCUGACGUCUGUCCUGAACAAACGUCCAGAAGCCACCAAAGAAACUGCUGAUAGAUCGGUCGCCAAUUAAUCCGGCUGACAUCUGGCACCGAUACCUGCGCUCACGAGGGUCAAAUUAAUACUUACUUAAUUAAUACAAACUAAUAAAUUAACUUCAGUCAGUUCUGCCAAAGUCCUUCUACAGCUUAGUCCCGCCCCUCGGCAGCCAUCUUGGUAAGGCCUCAGGUAUCUGGGACUAACAGGAUCAGGUCUCUCGCUGAAUGAACGGGCAGAGAGCCAGAACUGCACUUUGAUUUUUUAAAACGUUUCCCGGCUCGGCUGGUAAAAGCAGACGAUUGGCUGUCUGGCGGGCGGGAUGACCGCCGUCUUUGCGUUACAGGCUUCGCCCAGAGGAUUCUAUUCAGGACUCUGUAAGCGUGUCUCUUUCUUAAAUCGCCUCUGGUUCUGCUCACAGUCUCAGAACAGGGACGAAAGAAAAGCAGAGCUUGCGCUGAGUUACAGAAGCUAGACAGGAAGUGACGUCAGAACCCUCUUCUAACACUGAAGCUACUGAACCUCCUUCAGAAGAUCAGUUUUUAAAGGUCAUCCGCAGGAGGCCGCAGUGUCCAGGACUCGUGUUUCCACUCGUGCACCGAUGCCUGGACUUGAUCGGACAGCAGUCCUUCAGUACAGUAGUGAGGAAGUCCUCGCGAACACUGUGUACUGUCCCCUGCGAGCGGUGAGAAGCUGGACAGCGGUGGAGUUUCCUCCUCGCUGCCCAAACAACAAUCAGAGCCCUGCAGACAGGAAACAGGAAGCGCCUGAGACAAUACAGCAGAGAGGAUCCGGAGCCCGGAGCAUUUUUCAGGCACGAAACAAGGAUGCAGUUGCACAUAAAGUUUUUCCUUAUCACUGCAGGAAAACAGCCGCCUGCAGGAACUCUCACUGCAACAGUUCAGAGCCUGAGAGCGACCUGCAGACGUCAUUUUCAC